rnacentral:lncRNA from 1 species
UGCCGGUUCUAUUUUGGGUGAGAUCUACCUUUUUACCUAAUUAUUGUGAUGCUGGUGUGUUUGUCGAUAAUUGCAUGUUCUUGUACACUGGGUGAUGGAUAUAAUUGGGUAUUGAAAUGAUAAAAAAAUGUUGCUCACUGUUUUUUUUGCCUAAAACAUCAAUGAUUCAAGUAUAUUUGAAUGAGGUGUUGAAUUGCUCCUAGUUUACUGUCUAUGUGCGGUUGUUGCUGCUUGGCUGCCUGUGGCUUGUGUGCUUUUGCCCUGUGUGGCUGUUGCUCUUGCUGCCUGUGGCUUUAUGUGCUUUAGCCCUGUGUGGCUUUGUGUGCUGUUGCCCUGUGUGGCUGUUGCUCUUGCUGCCUGUGGCUCUGUGUGCUUUAGCCCUGUGUGGCUCUGCGAUUUAGCCUUGUGUGGCUCUGUGUUGCUGUUGCCCUGUGUGGCUGUGUGUUGCUCUGCCUUGUUUGGCUGCCUGUGGCUUUAUGUGCUUUAGCCCUGUGUGGCUUUGUGUGCUGUUGCCCUGUGUGGCUGUUGCUCUUGAUGCCUGUGGCUCUAUUGGUCUUUGCCUUAGCCAUCUAUUGAACCAAACAACAUAUUUUCAUUGCAUAAAAAUUGCAUACAAAAGGCAUUCUUUACAUAUUGCAUUCAUAUACAAAAGGCAUUCUUUACAACUAAAAAAUGCAUACAAAAACAUCUGCAUUUUUUCACAAAAAACAGUUUGGCUUUCAAAAAGUAAUCAUUCAUCUUUCCUUCACUAAGUCAUGGUUCUUGAAUACCUAAGUUUGUCAUUAGGUAUUCAAUCCCAUCUAAUGAAAUUGAUCCUAUACCUAGAUCAUUCAUUAGAUGGUCCAUGCCCUCCUCACACCCAUUAUCCACAAGAUAUUGUAGGCAUUCCUUCACUAACUCAUUAGAGACUUCCAAAUUUCUUGGAAGUUCAUUGUGCCUAAUGAGUGUGCCCUUCUUCAUGUGCGGUAUCUUGUAUGCAUUGUGUCCUUUCACCUUCAUCAUUUCCACCAUGCAUCCUUGAAGACUCAAGAACACAUUGUUUAGAGUAGUAGGUGAGAGGUCUUUAUAUGACUUCUCAACUGCAGCCACUAGCUCCUCCACAUUGUUGCACACAUUUUCUGUUUGCAAGCUCUGGAUUGCUCUAAAAAACCCCAAAUCAUUGAUAUUCGUGUCUGGACUGUUGGGGGGUUGCUGAAUUAUUCUGAUGUCAAAGCCAUCAGAACUUGCAGCCUGCCUAAAAUCUGGAUCAUCAUCCUUGAUGUGAGGCCUUGCAUUGUCUUGUUGAAUGAAAAUCACUUUACUUGCAAAUGUUGGCCAUUUAAGCUUUAUGGCUGGUAUCAUCUGUAUGAAAUCCACUUCAUUCAUUACUAAUGAUGUAGAAAUACAGAAAUUAAUCUAAAAUAUAAAUGCAUUCAACCCCUACUGUUUUACAGUUGCAUAUGUCAUUACUAAUGAUGUAGAAAUACAGAAAUUAAACUAAAAUACAACUGCAUUCAACCCCUAAUGUUUUACAGUUGCAUAUGUCAUUACUAAUGAUGUAGAAAUACAGAAAUUAAUCUAAAAUACAAAUGCAUUCAACCCCUACUGUUUUACAGUUGCAUAUGUCACAACAUUCGUCACUAAUCCAUACCUUAUUGAUAAAACAAUGCUUUGUGACUUGCUUUGUUAUGCUCUCGAUUGGUUUUAACUCCAAAGUUCCAGCCUCCCGGUUUUUGCUGUUCCUUUUAGCAGGCACCAAUUCUGUAAAUGGCCAAAUCCCUAUUUUUCCGUCGAAUAAUACGCUGCCAUCUUCUGCAAAUAUUGGCCUACACACUGCACACAUGAACAUCACUUUCUUGAUGUGUUUCUUUGAUUUGCAUGUUCUGUGCGGUUCUGCCUCUCCUGGGGUUAAGUAGAACCUGUGAUUUACUUUUGUAUAUAAAACCACUUCUCGUCGAUAUGCACAGUGUUGUGCAUAUCUUUGAACUGAAGUACCUUCAGAAUACGGUCGUAUUCUAUGGCUUCAAGGCUGAACCGCAGGCGUAGAAGUUUGUUAGGAGCAGUUAGGUCGGGUCGUAUUGCACUUGUGUGAGCUUUGAUCAAUCCCUUGCUUAUCCAUCGACCCACUGUACUUUUACUGCAAUUUAUGCCACUUGCAAGACUUCGAAUAGUUGAUCUUUUGCUCAAUUCCAGGCUGGAGAUUAGCUCUAAGUCGAUUUGCACUCUUUUUCGAUGUGGUCGAUGUAUUUUCAUGCUUGCCGAAUGAAUGUGCUCACCUCUUUCUUGUUGUUUUUUGCCGCAGCCCAAAGCCGACUCACGGUCCUCCUAGAGCUUCCGAAUUUGACAAUGGCUUCUUGGAUCUUCCCUCUCUUCGGCUUGCCGUUUUUGCUAUCUUGAAGAAGGAAUUGAACAAUGGUGUUCCUUUCUCCAUUACUUAGAUCUUUUCUUCUCAUUUUCCCUUUCUUUUUGCUGUAAUUUUUGCCUUUUAGGAUGAAAAAUUGAAUCUGC